rnacentral:lncRNA from 1 species
AUGGGAAAUAAAUUUAUUUAUUUAAAUGUCUGUGACAUUUUUGUUAUAGCAGUCCAAAAUAGUAAAUACCCGUCUACUUCUUCAGCCUUUUCUGUACAGGAGGAAAGAGCUGAUGGAUUUUAUGAGAGUCUGAGCCUCUUCGUGCCGUAUUUCCCAGUGUCAAGGAUGUACACAGAACUUUCCUGCUGUCUGACCCUUCCUGCCACUGCUUCCUCAGUGCCUUCUGUUUGUUGAAAUAUACUAGAUCACCUGUAGCCCCUGAAUAUGCUGCUUUGUUUUGCAGUUUUAUCCUUUAUUCCAGUCUGUCUUCCUGCCUGACUCUGAGGACUUUCCAGCACAUGUUCUAAGAUUCAGUUAGGUGCUGCAGCAAGCCCUGCUCCCACCAGGCUGAGCUAAAAGACUAGUUCCACAUGUUCACAACGGCAUUCAUUCCGUCACUACGUUCAUCAUGUUAAUAUGAAACUUUGUGUGUGUGUUCAUCUGAAAUAUAGCUUCUUUGAAAGUAUUCUCUUGUUCACUCUUCAUACCACUACGGUGUUUGUUACAUGGUAGGUUCUGCCAUGUCUACUUGACUGAACCAGCUGUCCUGAAACCUCUAGUCUCAGGGAGCUGGACAGCAGUCUCACUGUCCCAACACUAUGUAUCCAGCUCCCAUAAUCUCA